rnacentral:RNase_MRP_RNA from 1 species
AAGUUCCCUCGGGAAACACCGCGGAGCCACUAGCAGUGUCGUGAUGACUCUUUAUCGCUCUGAGGAAAGUCCCUGGACCCGUGGUAGAAAGUGCCGUAGCUUUUGGCUAUCAUCCUCCGUCGUCUUCGUGAAUUUCAGGAGAGGAAGCUUCGGCUGAUCCUUCGCGACGGACGUGAGAGUGUUUGUCAAAGUAAAGUAAUGUGUGUUGGAACGUUUUCUUGCUCUUCUAAGAAGAAAUAGAAAUACGUUGAACCGAACAGGGCUUACCGUACGAGGAAACU